UACGUAGGGAGCGAGCGUUGUCCGGAAUCACUGGGCGUAAAGCGCACGUAGGCGGAUUGCUAAGUCAGGGGUGAAAUCCUGGAGCUCAACUCCAGAACUGCCUUUGAUACUGGUGAUCUUGAGUCCGGGAGAGGUGAGUGGAACUGCGAGUGUAGAGGUGAAAUUCGUAGAUAUUCGCAAGAACACCAGUGGCGAAGGCGGCUCACUGGCCCGGUACUGACGCUGAGGUGCGAAAGCGUGGGGAGCAAACAGG
rnacentral:rRNA from 1 species